rnacentral:lncRNA from 1 species
GUUUCAACAAAAAUAAGAUGAAAGUGAAAAGAGUUCCUAGUUUCAAUGCUCCUAGAACCACUCCCUUCCCCCACCUUCCCAGGCAGCUUUGGGACCAACAGAUACAAAUGAUGCUGAUCCAAGCCCUUAGCUCACUCACGCUCUAUAGGGAAGAUGCAGAUGUGUUCAGGUAAACAGGGACAUCAGCCAAAAGACCACGUCGUUACUGUUUUAUGGUGUGAAGAGCAGGCAGUGUAGAAUGGCCUCUGUUUCAGAAUGGUGAAGCAAGAAGAAACCCAGCUUGGGGUCUGUGCAGUAAUUCUGCCACUCACAAUUUUUUUUUUUUGUCUUUUUUUUUAUAGGGCCGCACCCAUGGCAUAUGGAGGUUCCCAGGCUAGGGGUCUAAUCAGAGCUGUAGCCGGUGGCUACAGCUCCGAUUGGACCCGUAGCCUGGGAAACUCCAUGUGCCGAGGGAGUAGCCCAAGAAAUGGCAAAAAAGACCAAAAAAAAAAAAGUCAGAAACUUGAGAGUGGGCCCUCCUGUAUGUUUCAUUCAGGCUAUAGGCAACAUUUUUUUUUUUACGACUUUUACAAAAGGUGCAGAGCCAGCACCAUGAAGCACAGGCCACAGAGCACAAGGGUUAGAGCUAAAGGCAUGGAUCCAAUAUGGAACCAGGUUUGCGCUUCUCUGUUUCAGGAGGUCAAAAUGCAUAAGAAAAAGAAAAGGCUCGCUUUGGCAGAAAAUUUCAGAAAACUGCUUCUAAGCUUGAGGAAAUAACAAAGGAGCUUUUGAUCAAAAUGACAGAAUGGAAAGGACUGGAGAGACCCAGGACUUAUAGGGUAUGCAGUCGCUGGAAGACUCCUCAUUGCCUCCCUUUGGGGAGAGGCUGAGUGCAUGUUACAAAGCUGUGAACACUAUUUGAAAUCGAUAAAUGGGCAAGAGCACAGGCACACAGCACCACCAGAGGAGUGUGAGCAUGACCAACUGCUUGUGUGUGUCCCUCUCUGCUGAGAGAAUCCCUGCUGGUUCAGGUGCCCACCCUCCUCCACACAACUAUACAUUCCGAACAAACUGAACCCAUCUCUGGGCUCUGUAUACCUACCGGUCCAAGGUCAUCAGGGAAUAGGAUUGCCCUGGGGGCAAUAAAGAAGUGUCCAUGCAGCCUUGCUUGCCACAGGCAGCCAUCUUGUGACUAUGAGGAAAACAAGCUUGUAGAUGAGGCCAGUAGACAGCAGGAGACAGGCAGAAAGACCCUGGGAUCGUGAUGACACCAUUGAGCCCAUCCUGUCUCUGAACUUUCUGUUGUUUAGGUGUUCGUGCCAGUUGAAGUCAUGGUUUCUUAGCUCAAAUACUGUGGGGACUUUUUGCUUUUUUUUUUUUUCUUUUCUAUAUGCUUUUAUGUUGCUUGCAUUACUUUUACAUCUAGUGGUCUUUCUGUUUGUAAUUAGGGGGAAAAAAGCUGUUUAUAUUUUAACUUUUCUAUUUCUUUCUUUUUUUCUUUUUUUUUUUUUUUUGCUUUUUAGGGCCACAUCCCUGGCAUAGGGAGGUUCCCAGGCUAGGGGUUGAACGGGAGACUAGAGUUACGGCUACCAGCCUACGCCACAGCCACAGCAACACAGGAUCUGGGACAGAAGAUCUAAAUAGACAUUUGUCCAAAGAAGACAUACACAUGGUCAAAGGCACACGAAAAGAUGCUCCACAUCACUGAUUAUUAGAAAAACACAAAUUAAAACUACAGUAAGAUAUCACCUGGUCAGAAUGGCCAUCAUCAAAAAGUCUGCAAAUAAUAAAUGCUGGAGAGGGUGCAGAGAAAAGGGAACCCUCCUGCACUACUGGUGGGAAUGUAAACUUCAAACUAUGUAGAAAGCAAUGAAAAAGAGCCUAUCAAAACCUAUGGGAUGCAAUAAAACUUGUUCUUAAAAGGCAUCUUUAUUAAAGAAUAAAGAUUAGGAAAAUAAGAACUUUUUAUUUAUUUAUUAUUUAUUUAUUUUUUGUCUUUUGAGGGCCGCACCAUCGGCAUAUGGAGGUUCCCAGGCUAGGGAUCUAAUCAGAGCUGUAGCUGCCGGCCUGCGCCAGAGCCACAGCAACUUGGGAUCCGAGCCGCCUCUGUGACCUACACCACAGCUAAUGGCAACACCGAUCCUUAACCCACUGAGAGAGCCCAGGGAUCAAACCCGAAACCUCAUGGUUCCUAGUCGGAUUCGUUAACCACUGAGCCACCAUGGGAACUCUGAUUUAUUUUUUUUUUUUUUGCCAUACCCACGGCAUGUGGAAGUUUCCAAGCCAUGAACAAAACCCGUGCCAUAGUAGUGACCCAAGCUGCUGCAGUGACAACACCAGAUCCUUGAUCCUCUGUGCCACAAGAGAACUCCAAGAAGAUAACUUAAUAGUCAUCUUAAGAAACUAACAAAAUAAACCAAAAUAAAAGUAAGAAGGAGAAAGAGGUAAGAAAUAAAGCAAUUCCUCAAAUAAAAUAGAUACAUUACUUAAGGAAAAGACAGAUGACAAAAAUGUACACCUUCAGAAAGGGAGAGAAAAAAAAAAGAGAGAGGAACAUAAACACAGAUAAUGAAGAGCUUAAAAGAAUACUGAAUAUUGUAUGCAACUAACUUAACAAAUGAGUUAGGAUUUUUUCCUGGUUACACUAAGACUGUCCUAAGAAAAUAGAAAACUUGAAGGGUUGAAAUGGUAAAGAAAGGAGCAGGAUGAGACUGACUCAGAGGAAAUGUAACCUUUACAGAACAGACAAUCCAACAGUAUUUAAGCAAGCAAAGACAAUUUCAAAAGAUGGAAAGCCCCUUCAUUUAAUAAACCAGUAUAACUCUAAUACCAAAUUCUGAUUUUAAAAAAUAUAAAAAAGGAGUGACCAUCUUAUGUAUAAAAAUAGACAUAAAAAUUCUAUUAAAUAGUCAACAGAAUCCAGAAAUAUGUCAGACAAGAUGAGUGAAGACUUACCUAGGAAGGCAAGGACAUUUCAGUAUAAAAAGGUCUAUCAGCCAUUUGUCAAGAUAUGCUGAAAAGGCUUAUAAAAAAAAUCACAACCUUUCCUAAGAAAGCCUCUAAGUAAAAUGGAAAAAAGAAAUAAUUUAUAUAUGAUGAAGACCAUUGAUUAUUAUUCUAAAUAAAGAAAUGCAGAGUUCCCCGGUGGGUGAGCGUGCUGAGAAGUGGAUGGUGGCCUUCUGUCCCGGGGGCCAGCAGGCCCUCUGGCCUCGGGCCGGCGAGUGAACCGGGGACCCCGGGACAGGCCUGGGCUGUGUCCUGCAGAGCCCUGGCUGCCCACUGGGCGGGCCCAGGCCUUGGAGUAGCAGCGAACCUCUCUCCCACCCCCACCUUCCGGAUCAAAGGGCGGCAGACCCCGCGAGCCGGGACCCUGCCUACCGUCGGGUCUCGUGGCCCAACGCAGCUGGGCUUAGGCGAAGCCCCGGUCAAGCCGUCCAGACGCGGCGUCUUUGGGCAUCUGGCCGGGCAGGGCGAGAAGAAUGGCAGCCACUGGAAUGCGCAGAGAGCUGUUAGUUUCAAUGGCCCGAGAAGGCUGGUCUGUGAGGACGCCAGCUUGGCCACCCUUGGGCCCUGGAGCUGCGCGGAUCCGGACCUAGGGUGACGGCUCUGUCCCAGGUGGACGAGAUCUCACCCCGUCCGGACAACGAUGGACAGAGAGGCCUUAAGGGGCCCGUAAGGCGAGCGGAACCCCCAUCAGCAACGGGGGGAACACUGGCGGGCCGUCGGGCGGUUGGCUGUUGUUCUAUCAAGACCUCGAAGCUAGAACUGGGAGCAUAACGCAGCACAUGUGGCCAACAGCAAGUGCCCACCACCCUUUGGGAAGAUUUACUGUCUGUUUAUAGAAGGCCUGUGUGUGUAAUAUGAGAAAGUUGCUCUCAGCUUUCCCCCCAACCUUUCAAAAGGAAACUUUUCACUACAUCUAGGCCUUCUAGAUAUAAAGAGGUUGCAGAUGUAUGAUAGAGUUAGAAAAUCACAUCUUGUUAAUGCCCUUUUUUUUUUUUUUUUAAAUCAUAGAAAAGGAAUGUCUCCUGGAAAUGACUUUUUGAGAUGAAAUUGUUUGACCACCUCUGGAAGCAGUAUCAGGAGCAACAGAAAUCCACAUUUGUUCAGUGGGUUAGAGGACAUGGAGUGGAAGACUUUGAGGAGGAGAUUCUGUGCUAGACUGGUCUUGCUUAGAAGACAUUUCCAGAUUAGAUCCAUUGUUUUGUAUGUGCAUUUUAUUUCUCACUGCUGUAUAUAUAGUUGACAAUAAGUACUUUUUAGAAAUAUCUAGGCUUUGUACAGAGUUCGCGUCGUGGCUCAGUGGUUAACGAAUAUGAUUAGAAACCCUGAGUUUGCGGGUUCGAUCCCUGGCCUUGCUCAGUGGGUUACAGAUCCAGCGUUGCCGUGAGCUGUGGUGUAGAUUGAAGACGCGGCUCGGAUCCCACGUUGCUGUGACUCUAGUGUGGGUUGGCGGCUAUAGCUCCGAUUCGACCCCUAGCCUGGGAACCUCCAUAUGCUUCCGGGGGAUCAGCCCUAGAAAAGGCAAAAAG